AUUGAACGCUGGCGGCAGGCCUAACACAUGCAAGUCGAGCGGAUGAAGGGAGCUUGCUCCUGGAUUCAGCGGCGGACGGGUGAGUAAUGCCUAGGAAUCUGCCUGGUAGUGGGGGAUAACGUCCGGAAACGGGCGCUAAUACCGCAUACGUCCUGAGGGAGAAAGUGGGGGAUCUUCGGACCUCACGCUAUCAGAUGAGCCUAGGUCGGAUUAGCUAGUUGGUGGGGUAAAGGCCUACCAAGGCGACGAUCCGUAACUGGUCUGAGAGGAUGAUCAGUCACACUGGAACUGAGACACGGUCCAGACUCCUACGGGAGGCAGCAGUGGGGAAUAUUGGACAAUGGGCGAAAGCCUGAUCCAGCCAUGCCGCGUGUGUGAAGAAGGUCUUCGGAUUGUAAAGCACUUUAAGUUGGGAGGAAGGGCAGUAAGUUAAUACCUUGCUGUUUUGACGUUACCAACGAAUAAGCACCG
rnacentral:rRNA from 1 species